rnacentral:rRNA from 1 species
AUUGAACGCUGGCGGCAGGCUUAACACAUGCAAGUCGAGCGGGGGAAGGUAGCUUGCUACUGGACCUAGCGGCGGACGGGUGAGUAAUGCUUAGGAAUCUGCCUAUUAGUGGGGGACAACAUCUCGAAAGGGAUGCUAAUACCGCAUACGUCCUACGGGAGAAAGCAGGGGAUCUUCGGACCUUGCGCUAAUAGAUGAGCCUAAGUCGGAUUAGCUAGUUGGUGGGGUAAAGGCCUACCAAGGCGACGAUCUGUAGCGGGUCUGAGAGGAUGAUCCGCCACACUGAGACUUAGACACGGCCCAGACUCCUACGGGAGGCAGCAGUGGGGAAUAUUGGACAAUGGGGGGAACCCUGAUCCAGCCAUGCCGCGUGUGUGAAGGAGGCCUUAUGGUUGUAAAGCACUUUAAGCGAGGAGGAGGCUACUCUAGUUAAUACCUAGGGAUAGUGGACGUUACUCGCAGAAUAAGCACCGGCUAACUCUGUGCCAGCCGCCGCAGUAA